UUACGGCCACAUCACUUUGAAACAUUGGUUCCUGCUCGAUCACCGAAGUCAAGCAACGUCGAUCCUGCUCAGUACUGCGGUGGGUGACCGCUUGAGAAUACCAGGGCCUGUA